GAUGAACGCUGGCGGCGUGCCUAAUACAUGCAAGUCGAGCGAACAGACGAGGAGCUUGCUCCUCUGACGUUAGCGGCGGACGGGUGAGUAACACGUGGAUAACCUACCUAUAAGACUGGGAUAACUUCGGGAAACCGGAGCUAAUACCGGAUAAUAUAUUGAACCGCAUGGUUCAAUAGUGAAAGACGGUUUUGCUGUCACUUAUAGAUGGAUCCGCGCCGCAUUAGCUAGUUGGUAAGGUAACGGCUUACCAAGGCAACGAUGCGUAGCCGACCUGAGAGGGUGAUCGGCCACACUGGAACUGAGACACGGUCCAGACUCCUACGGGAGGCAGCAGUAGGGAAUCUUGCGCAAUGGGCGAAAGCCUGACGGAGCAACGCCGCGUGAGUGAUGAAGGUCUUCGGAUCGUAAAGCUCUGUUAUUGGGGAAGAACAAAUGUGUAAGAAAAUAUGCACGUCUUGACGGUACCUAAUGAGAAAGCCACGGCUAACUACGUG
rnacentral:rRNA from 1 species